UACGUAGGGGGCAAGCGUUGUCCGGAUUUAUUGGGCGUAAAGAGCGUGUAGGCGGCUAGGUAGGUCCGUUGUGAAAACUCGAGGCUCAACCUCGAGACGCCGAUGGAAACCAUCUAGCUAGAGUCCGGAAGAGGAGAGUGGAAUUCCUGGUGUAGCGGUGAAAUGCGCAGAUAUCAGGAAGAACACCGACGGCGAAGGCAGCUCGCUGGGACGGUACUGACGCUGAGGCGCGAAAGCGUGGGGAGCGAACAGG
rnacentral:rRNA from 1 species